ensembl:rRNA 5S_rRNA 5S ribosomal RNA
ACAGGAUGCACUGUUUCCCAGACGUUUUUGAAAAUAGAGCAUAUAUAAAAAUUUCCUGUCUCGGAAGCUAAGCAGUGUCAGGCCUGGUUAGUACUUGGAUGGGACACCACCUAAGAAGACCAGGUGCUGUA